rnacentral:rRNA from 1 species
UGGGGAAUAUUGGACAAUGGGCGAAAGCCUGAUCCAGCCAUGCCGCGUGUGUGAAGAAGGUCUUCGGAUUGUAAAGCACUUUAAGUUGGGAGGAAGGGCAGUAAGCGAAUACCUUGCUGUUUUGAUGUUACCGACAGAAUAAGCACCGGCUAACUCUGUGCCAGCAGCCGCGGUAAUACAGAGGGUGCAAGCGUUAAUCGGAAUUACUGGGCGUAAAGCGCGCGUAGGUGGUUCGUUAAGUUGAAUGUGAAAGCCCCGGGCUCAACCAGGGAACUGCAUCCAAAGCUGGCGAGCUAGAGUAGGGCAGAGGGUGGUGGAAUUUCCUGUGUGGCGGUGAAAUGCGUAGAUAUAGGAAGGAACACCAGUGGCGAAGGCGACCACCUGGGCUCAUAGUAACACUGAGGUGCGAAAGCAUGGGGAGCAAACAGG